AUGCGAACUGAACCACCUUGUGCUUGCUAUGGCUUCACGAGGUUCGGAUCAAACAUAUAUGUGAAAGGCGCGGAAGAUUUCAAGACUUACCUACUAGAGAGUUCCGGUAACUCUUCAACUGUAACAUCGAAUGAUGAAUUCAAAGGUAAAUUCUCCUUUAAUCCUUCUACUUUCAAUUUCUGUUUUUUAUGA